rnacentral:misc_RNA from 1 species
UCCCCGUUACCGAGGCAGUCUGAAUAGAAAAAUACAACUAUUCAUAAGGGUUGCGCUCGUUGAUGGACUUAACCAAACAUCUCACGACACGAGCUGACGACGGCCAUGCAACACCUGUCACUGCUUGCCCCGUACUCACCUCGACAAUCUCUGAAUACUAUUCAGUGUCAAAAUGACUACGGGGCACUUUUUCCUUUCGGAAAAAUUGGCAGGAUGUCAAGCCUGGGUAAGGUUCUUCGCUUAUCAUCGAAUUAAACAACACGCUCCACCGCUUGUGCGGGUCCCCGUCAAUUCCUUUGAGUUUUAAUCUUGCGACCGUACUCCUCAGGCGGGAUGCUUAACGCGUUAACUUCGCUACUGACCGGGUCGAUACGGCCAACAGCUAGCAUCCAUAGUUUAC